AGGUGACCCAAAGCAGUGCAGUCUUCCCAGACAUAUGAGAGGAAAUCAGCCAGCUUGAUCUAAAGCAGACACUGGGAGGAUGACAAGGAUUGGUGCCAACUGAAGGACCAGAGUGUAAGAGCAGUUGAUGGCACAGCUGGAAAGUAGCAGUAUCACAUCACUGUCCUCAUCCAAGUCACAACCAUUAACAUCUGCUUAUAACAAACCAAUAAUUUCCAACAAAACCAUGGAGGAAGAUCUUUACCUAUGCACCUGUAUUGCAGGGGACAAUUCCAGGAUCAGCAUUUUAAAAGCAAAAUGCAAGAAGUGUUUGCUGUGAAGGAAGAAGAGUUUCUGCAAUUACAAGGGAGUAAAAAGUGGAGACUGAGUCGACGAGAAGAUACUGGCCUCGAUGAUGUUUUAGAUAAAAUUGAAGAGGUGGUCUUGGCAGCCCAAGGACUGCAAGAAGUGUCCAAUACAAUGAAGGAAAUGCCUUUGCCUGUGUUUUCUGCAAAGGUAACUGAUUAAAAACUUCUUAAAAACCUGUUUU